rnacentral:rRNA from 1 species
AUUGAACGCUGGCGGCAGGCCUAACACAUGCAAGUCGAACGGUAACAGGAAGCAGCUUGCUGCUUUGCUGACGAGUGGCGGACGGGUGAGUAAUGUCUGGGAAACUGCCUGAUGGAGGGGGACAACUACUGGAAACGGUAGCCAAUACCGCAUAACGUCGCAAGACCAAAGAGGGGGACCUUCGGGCCUCUUGCCAUCGGAUGUGCCCAGAUGGGGUUAGCUAGUAGGUGGGGUAACGGCUCACCUAGGCGACGAUCCCUAGCUGGUCUGAGAGGAUGACCAGCCACACUUGAACUGGGACACGGUCCCGACUCCUACGGGAGGCAGCAGUGGGGAAUAUUGCACAAUGGGCGCAAGCCUGAUGCAGCCAUGCCGCGUGUAUGGAGAAGGCCUUCGGGUUGUAAAGGACUUUCAGCGGGGAGGAAGGGAGUAGAGUUAAUACCUUUGCUCAUUGACGUUACCCGCAGAAGAAGCACCGGCUAACUCCGUG